rnacentral:rRNA from 1 species
GAUGAACGCUGGCGGCGUGCCUAAUACAUGCAAGUCGAGCGAACAGACGAGGAGCUUGCUCCUCUGACGUUAGCGGCGGACGGGUGAGUAACACGUGGAUAACCUACCUAUAAGACUGGGAUAACUUCGGGAAACCGGAGCUAAUACCGGAUAAUAUAUUGAACAGCAUGGUUCAAUAGUGAAAGACGGUUUUGCUGUCACUUAUAGAUGGAUCCGCGCCGCAUUAGCUAGUUGGUAAGGUAACGGCUUACCAAGGCAACGAGGCGUAGCCGACCUGAGAGAGUGCUCAGCCACACAGGAACUGAGACACGGCCCAGACUCCUACGAGAGGCAGCAGUAGGGAAUCUUCCGCAAUGGACGAAAGCCUGACGGAGCAACGCCGCGUGAGUGAUGAAGGUCUUCGGAUCGUAAGACUCUGUUAUUAGGGAAGAACAAAUGUGUAAGUAACUAUGCACGUCUUGACGGUACCUAAUCAGAAAGCCACGGCUAACUACGUG